rnacentral:rRNA from 1 species
AGCGAACGUUAGCGGCGCGCCUAACACAUGCAAGUCGCACGAGAAACGGAGCAAUCCGCGGUACAGUGGCGCACGGGUGAGUAACACGUGGAUGACCUUCCCUGGAGUGGUGGAUAACCUGCCGAAAGGCGGGCUAAUACAGCAUGGGACCACGACGCUUUGGCGAUGUGGUGAAAGCGGGCCUCUAUAUAUAAGCUCGCGCUCCGGGACGGGUCCGCGUCCCAUCAGCUAGUUGGUGAGGUAACGGCUCACCAAGGCUUCGACGGGUAGCUGGUCUGAGAGGAUGGCCAGCCACACUGGAACUGAGACACGGUCCAGACUCCUACGGGAGGCAGCAGUGGGGAAUCUUGCGCAAUGGGCGAAAGCCUGACGCAGCGACGCCGCGUGGGCGAAG